AUUGAACGCCGGCGGCAGGCUUAACACAUGCAAGUCGAGCGGGGUGAUGGUGCUUGCACUAUCACUUAGCGGCGGACGGGUGAGUAAUGCUUAGGAAUCUGCCUAUUAGUGGGGGACAACAUCUCGAAAGGGAUGCUAAUACCGCAUACGUCCUACGGGAGAAAGCAGGGGAUCACUUGUGACCUUGCGCUAAUAGAUGAGCCUAAGUCGGAUUAGCUAGUUGGUGGGGUAAAGGCCUACCAAGGCGACGAUCUGUAGCGGGUCUGAGAGGAUGAUCCGCCACACUGGGACUGAGACACGGCCCAGACUCCUACGGGAGGCAGCAGUGGGGAAUAUUGGACAAUGGGGGGAACCCUGAUCCAGCCAUGCCGCGUGAGUGAAGAAGGCCUUAUGGUUGUAAAGCACUUUAAGCGAGGAGGAGGCUCUUUUGGUUAAUACCCAGAAUGAGUGGACGUUACUCGCAGAAUAAGCACCGGCUAACUCUGUGCCAGCCGCCGCCGUAA
rnacentral:rRNA from 1 species